AUUGAACGCUGGCGGAAUGCUUUACACAUGCAAGUCGAACGGCAGCACGGACUUCGGUCUGGUGGCGAGUGGCGAACGGGUGAGUAAUGUAUCGGAACGUGCCCAGUCGUGGGGGAUAACGUAGUGAAAAUUACGCUAAUACCGCAUACGAUCUAUGGAUGAAAGCGGGGGAUCACAAGACCUCGCGCGAUUGGAGCGGCAGAUAUCAGAUUAGGUAGUUGGUGGGGUAAAGGCCCACCAAGCCAACGAUCUGUAGCUGGUCUGAGAGGACGACCAGCCACACUGGAACUGAGACACGGUCCAGACUCCUACGGGAGGCAGCAGUGGGGAAUUUUGGACAAUGGGCGAAAGCCUGAUCCAGCCAUUCCGCGUGCAGGAUGAAGGCCCUCGGGUUGUAAACUGCUUUUGUACAGAACGAAAAGGUUUCUACUAAUACUAGGAGCUCAUGACGGUACUGUAAGAAUAAGCACCGGCUAACUACGUGCCAGCAGCCCCGUAA
rnacentral:rRNA from 1 species